rnacentral:sRNA from 1 species
GGCUGAGUAUACUUUGUGAAAUCCCCGGAAUUGCCAGAUUUAUAGGGAUAAAAACUAGAAUGGGAUUUCCAAGAAUGAAGGUGGGAUGAAGGCCAGUGCUUAAUGGGGACAGACUUUGGAACAGGCACAAAGGUAAAGAGUCCUGAGAAUGGUUGCUCAGCAACACAAAUGUACCAAAUGCCAUCAAACCAGGCACUUUACAAGGGGUAAAAUGUUGAAUUUCGUGACAGGAUCAAUUUGAUGCUGUACAGAGUCUAUUUCUGGGAGCCAAUGACUUAGGAAUAUUGAAUUUUCCAAACUCAGUAACACGGCUUAACUGAUCCUCAGAAUAAACCACCGGACCACCAUCUAACUGAUGGAUCGGGCACCUCAGUCCUCAGCUGUAGCCUAUACAAGGUGUCCCUGCUGUGAGCUAGGAGCCCACAAAGAGUUCUGCCGGAGACGGGUGUUCAUCAGAAGGUGAAAUCACCUUUGCGUUUUGAUCCAUGGCUUCCAAAGAUAGAAGAGAUGAUUGGUUUUCCCCGAGAUUCAAAUGAUACCGGCAUCCCGAACGAUGCUCAGAGAAUGUCGCUUUAAACAACAAAAUGAAGGCGUCCAUUGAUGGAUCUCCCACCCUUGCUGCUCCUGGCAGCGUCGCGUCGCUUUGGCUUGUGAAGAGGGCCGUGCCAGGAUUUCCUGCUCCACACCUGCCUUUGGAGGGGGCUGCAUGUGAGGAUUCUGUCAGGCCACCGCAGGUGAGCUUGAUUUGGGGGUGAUAAGAACUGAUGGGCUCUCAUAGCUUGGGGUCCAGGAGUACUGGGGGGUGGGGGACACUUGGGAGUCAGUGUCGGCAAAAGUCGAUUGGCUCCUCCCUCUGAUGGAGAAGCUGAUCCUAAGCGGCUGCUCUUUCUCCAAGAACUUUCUAAUCAGAAUGGAUCUUGCUGUCGGGGGUAGCGGCAUCAGAAGUGAGCUACAGCCAGGGCGAUUUCCUGGACAUGCUGUCCCGGGGAGCUCGUGGCUCUCAGAUUGCUUUUUUGGGGGGAGGUCUAACAAGAAUCAAUAUUUAAGAUUAUGCAAUGUCCAUUGCAGCUUGCAGCAGCUGCCAACCUGAGGACGAGGGCUGGAUAAUUUACAAUGCAAGGAAUCCAUUCUUUUUGAGAGGGGGAAGGGAGAAAUCAAGAUUUAAGCUCCUUAUCCUGGGCUGAACUUUUCUCCUCCAUUCUUAAUGGCACUGGGCGUAAAUAAACCAUCCAUUUUGCUUUGUAGAACUGGCUGGUCUUUGCACAAACUCACUGGAAUCGACAGCCCAGGUUCAGAACCAAGACCACAGGUCUAGGCUGUAACCGAUUUGUAAACAAUACUAAUUUACAUUUUCCCACUGUCUGUUAGCCUUAUCAGGACCUGUCUUUCUAUUCUUCUGCCCCCAACAUCUGCAGAGAAAGUUUUUUUUUUUUUAUUGUCAGCUACUAAUGGUUCUUCUGUCCCAUAUUUUUAAUGUGAAGAUUAAAUAUUUAUAAAUGCCUUGUCAAUAGCAUCCCAUAACCAGGCCCUCUCGAAGCCACAAAGCAUGGACCUAAGCUCACUCCCACGAAGUCAGGGGUCACAGGUCAAGCGAGCAGUGAACAGCAGCCAUGAAGCACAUCUGCUGUCACUAAGUCUGGACAAUUAUUUAUGGGGCAGGGCUCUUCCUUAAAAGGCCCACAGCAUGGCAAGGGAAGUUUCCUUUGUCUCAGUCAAGCUCCUCUGGCCAAGUAGUUACUGGAAUCAGACUCCCAGCCGUGGGGCAGGCAACCAGCCUGGAUACCAUCUGCUUGGAGAAGAAUGCAGGAAGCACCUACAAGUGAAAGACUUAGGAGUGGGGAACAGGGAUGAUGAAAAGGAUGAGACACGAAGGUCCCGUGCCUCAGACAAGGAUUGGUUGGAAAUAGUAGAUUUUAAACAGGUGUGUGUGAAUCCCCUGGGCAUUUGGACAUAGGUGAGCCCGGGAACGAGGCUACAUAGAGCAUCCUGGGAAGGAGGGGGUGGCAGAGUUCAGCAGGAAGCAGCUCAUGAGCAAGGACAGGAAGAAAUGUCUCCAAAAGGUCAAUAGACCCAUGAAGCCAAUGCUUCCACCAGUCAAUAGUCACAUGACGAUGGGAGAUGGGAAUGGCCGCCCCAGAAGAGUUGGCGGGGACAUCCCUUCCAGCUGCAGGUAUACACAUCUGUUCUUCUGUAGAGCGGUUCCUGGUCCUUGGGGGUGAACAUCUGUGUGGCUAGAAGUUCUC